rnacentral:rRNA from 1 species
AGCGGCGGACGGGUGAGUAACACGUGGGUAACCUGCCCAAGAGACUGGGAUAACACCUGGAAACAGAUGCUAAUACCGGAUAACAACACUAGACGCAUGUCUAGAGUUUGAAAGAUGGUUCUGCUAUCACUCUUGGAUGGACCUGCGGUGCAUUAGCUAGUUGGUAAGGUAACGGCCUACCAAGGCAAUGAUGCAUAGCCGAGUUGAGAGUCUGAUCGGCCACAUUGGGACUGAGACACGGCCCAAACUCCUACGGGAGGCAGCAGUAGGGAAUCUUCCACAAUGGACGAAAGUCUGAUGGAGCAACGCCGCGUGAGUGAAGAAGGGUUUCGGCUCGUAAAGCUCUGUUGGUAAUGAAGAAAGAUAGAGGUAGUAACUGGCCUUUAUUUGACGGUAAUUACUUAGAAAGUCACGGCUAACUACGUGCCAGCAGCCGCGGUAUACGUAGGUGGCAAGCGUUGUCCGGAUUUAUUGGGCGUAAAGCGAGUGCAGGCGGUUCAAUAAGUCUGAUGUGAAAGCCUUCGGCUCAACCGGAGAAUUGCAUCAGAAACUGUUGAACUUGAGUGCAGAAGAGGAGAGUGGAACUCCAUGUGUAGCGGUGGAAUGCGUAGAUAUAUGGAAGAACACCAGUGGCGAAGGCGGCUCUCUGGUCUGCAACUGACGCUGAGGCUCGAAAGCAUGGGUAGCGAACAGGAUUAGAUACCCUGGUAGUCCAUGCCGUAAACGAUGAGUGCUAAGUGU